rnacentral:rRNA from 1 species
UACGGGGGGGGCAAGCGUUGUUCGGAAUUACUGGGCGUAAAGGGCUCGUAGGUGGCCAACUAAGUCAGACGUGAAAUCCCUCAGCUUAACUGGGGAACUGCGUCUGAUACUGGAUGGCUUGAGUUUGGGAGAGGGAUGCGGAAUUCCAGGUGUAGCGGUGAAAUGCGUAGAUAUUGGGAGGAACACCAGUGGCGAAGGCGGCUCACUGGACCGGAACUGACGCUGAGGCGCGAAAGCGUGGGGAGCAAACAGG